rnacentral:tRNA from 1 species
GCACCUGUAGCUCAACUGGAUAGAGCGUCUGACUACGGAUCAGAAGGUUAUGGGUUCGACUCCUGUUAGGUGCGCCA